UACGGAGGGUGCGAGCGUUGCUCGGAAUCAUUGGGCGUAAAGCGUACGCAGGCGGCGCCGUAAGUCGGGUGUGAAAGCCCGGGGCUCAACCCCGGAAAUGCGCCCGAAACUGCAGCGCUUGAGUGCGGGAGAGGAAAGCGGAAUCCGUGGUGUAGAGGUGAAAUUCGUAGAUAUCACGGGGAACACCGGUGGCGAAAGCGGCUUUCUGGCCCGAUACUGACGCUCAUGUACGAAAGCGUGGGGAGCAAACAGG
rnacentral:rRNA from 1 species